GACGAACGCUGGCGGCGUGCUUAACACAUGCAAGUCGAACGGAAAGGCACUGCUUUUUUGGGGUGCUCGAGUGCCGAACGGGUGAGUAACACGUGAGUAACCUGCUCUUGACUUUGGGAUAACUUCAGGAAACUGGGGCUAAUAUAGGAUAGGAGAUCCCGCUCCAUGGUGGGGGUUGGAAAGUUUCGGCGGUAGGGGAUGGAUUCGCGGCUUAUCAGCUUGUUGGUGGGGUAGUGGCUUACCAAGUCGUUGACGGGUAGCCGGCCCGAGAGGGUGGACGGCGACAAGGGGACUGAGGGACGGCCCAGACGGCUACAGGAGGCAGCAGUGGCGAAUAUUGCACAAUGGGCGGAAGCCGGAUGCAGCGGCGCCGCGGUCGGAAUGACGGCCUGCGGGGAGUAAACCGCUGUCGCCUGUUACGAAGCGUGAGUGACGGUAAUGGGUAAAUAAGCACCGGCUAACUACGUG
rnacentral:rRNA from 1 species